UACGUAGGGUGCGAGCGUUGUCCGGAAUUAUUGGGCGUAAAGAGCUUGUAGGCGGUUUGUCGCGUCUGCCGUGAAAAUCCGGGGCUCAACCCCGGGCCUGCAGUCGAUACGGGCGGACUAGAGUUCGGUAGGGGAGACUGGAAUUCCUGGUGUAGCGGUGAAAUGCGCAGAUAUCAGGAGGAACACCGGUGGCGAAGGCGGGUCUCUGGGCCGAAACUGACGCUGAGGAGCGAAAGCGUGGGGAGCAAACAGG
rnacentral:rRNA from 1 species